CUCCUGCCUCUGUGGCAGCGCUAUGGAUGUCCGGCUGUGGCUUAAGCCCACUCCCCCUCAGACAUCCCCUGAGCGCUACCAGACUGCUAAAGUGCGCAGGCCGGGCUGAGGUGAUCCCCACCCCCAAGUGCAUGAAUGUCGUGCACCAGGCCUCGAGUGUCAGUAUAACAGAUGUUCAUUUUAUUUUCUCCCAUAUGUCUUUGGGCAUAUUUUGCCUUUUUGAAUUACCUCCAAAAAGAUACCUGGUUAAUUUGGUGGACUUCAUUAGAAUCAUAAAAUUUUAAUGCAAACCAGUGCUUACUUAGAAUCAGUCUCCCUUAAAUGUGUAAAUCAGGAAAUUAGAACGGCAUCUGCUUACAAUUAAUUUGAAGUACAUUAUUUUUGGACUGUUGACUGAUUAAAAUAAAAAAUUCAGGAGUUAACUUCAGCAGGUUCUUUAGGUUUUUAUUUGAGGGAAGAGGAAAAAGAGGGAAGUAUAAUUGUUAGGUAAAAGUACAGGAUAAACUAAAGUCUUCAUACAACUCCUAGUAAUUAUGUCACAUAAGACAAUGCUACCAAAAAUUUAAACUUUCAUUUGUUCUGUGCCUUUAGAGUAAAAAAAAUUUAAGUUCCUUUUCAGAUCUCCCUUUCCCCACCAUCUACAUAAUUCUUUAGAUGUACCCAUUGUUAACAACUUGGGGUGUGUUUGUAUCCCUAUUAUAUAUAAAUGUUUUUAUUAUAUUUGACCUUUAUAUGUUUCAGUUCCCUGAAAGCAACUUUUACCCUAUGUCAGAUUCCAUCCUCAAUCAACUGACCAAUUUAUCAAGAACAAUCCAGAGAAUCCCACCUUAACAAAAGUUAAAUCACUGUUAACAGUUCUUAAACUAGAAAUUAACUGACUCUUAAGUUGUUUUAUAUUAAGCUUAAAGAGUAACCAUAGCACUCUGGGAGAGUCAAGUUGAUUAUUGGUUUCUAUUCCCUGUGUAAAUAUGGCUGAGAAGGAGGAGUGUGGAAGUCCAAGCUCCUUAAUACCCAGGUAAUUUUGGGUUGGGCUCAUUCAUUCUCUUGGCAUACUUUCCUACUUGGGGAGUAUUGCAAUGUCCCCAACAAUUACUUCAGAUACUUCUCUGCAAUAGUUGUUAAAGCAAUAGUUUAGCACAUUAGUGUCAUGAUAUAAAAUUAAGUGUGUGUGCCCCAGAACAAUUAUUCAAAUUUAUUCUUAUUUGAUUUUUAAUAAAAACAACUCAGAGCAAUUGAAGCACAACUUUCCAUGAUUUUGUUAAAUUUCUGGUGGUCAUUUAAAAAAUGUAAAACACAUUCUGCUUAUCAUGACUUCUGUCAAUUUCACUUAUUGAGUGUCUGCUGUGUGCCCAGUGUUCUUUAUAGUUAGAGCUUAAAAUUAGGGAGCCAUUGCCCAUACUCCAGCAUGUAAGUACUUUAUCUGUGGAUAUGAGGUCAACAAAUCAGGCACGUUCACAUUCUGUAUUUGAUCAGAUAUGUACCAGUGACACUUCAGAGGUAAUUAGAAUGACAGUAGUUGAAGCUGAUAGUGAACGUUGAGGUAAAGCUGAACAGAAUGAUUUUGAAUCUUGCAAAUAAUUUUAAAGCCAGAUUAAAAUAGAAUAACUUGUUUUUUAGCUUCAAGGGAGCAAUUACUAGUAAAUGAUCCUCAAGCCCAAAUUGCUUUUACAAAUUUUGUGAUAACAGUGCAGAAACAGAUGCCUUGUGCUUAUUUAGACAGUUGCUUUUUUUUCAACCUAGAAAAAAUGCAUUUUAAAAAGCAAUUUUUUAUUGUUGCCUUUGACAGAUAUUUUCUUUGCCUUGUCACCAAACAGUAACCUAGGAAACAAGUAGGCCUGUUUGGAGAGUGUAACCCAGUGUAAUUUGUGAAUUUCUAAAUACACUUUCCAAAUUGGGAGUAUGGGUCCUCUUUUUCCUACCUGAUAUUGAAGAUAGGCCAGAAAGAUAGCUUAAUGAUUACCUGAAUUUUCUGCUAACCAAUAAGUUUUAAGAAUAUAUUUUUAAUUACAGUAUAUUAUCAAAGGUAACAUCCAGAUCCCUUCUUGACCAUUUUGGGGAGAAAAUGAAUGACAUCAUCAGUUUUUAAAAAUGAUUCCAUGAGCCAGUUAUCAAGAAAUAACUUCUAUUUAUCUGAAUUAAUUCAUCACGAAUUCAUAAAAGGUGAAUAAUUUCAAUGAUCUAGUGACAGUUCUUCAAAAGGUAAAAGCCUGUAAGGGAAAUACUAAACAUCAAAAGCAAGACACUUCGAAAAUUUUUGGUUGUCUCCAGAGUGACAGAAUUAUUACCUUUGUACCAAAGCUAUAUGCAAUAUAAGCUCCCCUGCCCCAUGAAUCCUGUAUUGAUGUUUUUAAACCUGAAAAUGUUCUUUAACUGAAGCAGUGGCUGGCAUCAGUAGUUCCUCCCUUCAAAGAUUUUUAAAAUGGCCAACAGUAGUGGCACAAGAAAAUCACUUAUGACGGACAUAAUUUUGGUUGAACUUGAAGAUGGUCAGAUAUGGCAUUUAAUUUAC